rnacentral:tRNA from 1 species
GGGGCCUUAGCUCAGCUGGGAGAGCGCCUGCUUUGCACGCAGAGGUCAGCGGUUCGAUCCCGCUAGCUCCAUUGG